AUUUAUAUAGUUUAUGUAAAACAUUACAUUUUCAAUGUAAAAAUAAUUAAUUCAAUUUAUAAAUA
rnacentral:tRNA from 1 species